rnacentral:rRNA from 1 species
GAUGAACGCUGGCGGCGUGCUUAACACAUGCAAGUCGAACGGAAAGGCCCUGCUUUUGUGGGGUGCUCGAGUGGCGAACGGGUGAGUAACACGUGAGUAACCUGCCCUUGACUUUGGGAUAACUUCAGGAAACUGGGGCUAAUACCGGAUAGGAGCUCCUGCUGCAUGGUGGGGGUUGGAAAGUUUCGGCGGUUGGGGAUGGACUCGCGGCUUAUCAGCUUGUUGGUGGGGUAGUGGCUUACCAAGGCUUUGACGGGUAGCCGGCCUGAGAGGGUGACCGGCCACAUUGGGACUGAGAUACGGCGCAGACUCCUACGGGAGGCAGCAGUGGGGAAUAUUGCGCAAUGGGCGGAAGCCUGAGGCAGCAACGCCGCGUGCGGAAUGACGGCCUUCGGGUUGUAAACCGCUGUCGCCUGUGACGAAGCGUGAGUGACGGUAAUGGGUAAAGAAGCACCGGCUAACUACGUG